GACGAACGCUGGCGGCGUGCUUAACACAUGCAAGUCGAACGGAAAGGCCCUGCUUUUGUGGGGUGCUCGAGUGGCGAACGGGUGAGUAACACGUGAGUAACCUGCCCUUGACUUUGGGAUAACUUCAGGAAACUGGGGCUAAUACCGGAUCGGAGCUCCCGCUGCAUGGUGGGGGUUGGAACGUUUCGGCGGUUGGGGAUGGACUCGCGGCUUAUCAGCUUGUUGGUGGGGUAGUGGCUUACCCAGGCUUUGACGGGUAGCCGGCCUGAGAGGGUGACCGGCCACAUUGGGACUGCGAUACGGCCCAGAGUCCUACGGGAGGCAGCAGUGGGGAAUAUUGCACAAUGGGCGGAAGCCUGAUGCAGCAACGCCGCGUGCGGGAUGACGGCCUUCGGGUUGUAAACCGCUUUCGCCUGUGACGAAGCGUGAGUGACGGUAAUGGGUAAAGAAGCACCGGCUAACUACGUG
rnacentral:rRNA from 1 species